UGCAGCAGGCGCGAAAACUUUACAAUGCCGGCAACGGCGAUAAGGGAACCUCGAGUGCCAGGUUACAAAUCUGGCUGUCGUGAUGCCUAAAAAGCAUUGCAUAGCAAGGGCCGGGCAAGACCGGUGCCAGCCGCCGCGGUAACACCGGCGGCUCGAGUGGUAACCGUUAUUAUUGGGUCUAAAGGGUCUGUAGCCGGCCGGGUAAGUCUCUUGGGAAAUCUGGCAGCUUAACUGUCAGGCUUUCAGGAGAUACUGCCUGGCUCGAGGCCGGGAGAGGUGAGAGGUACUUCAGGGGUAGGGGUGAAAUCUUGUAAUCCUUGAAGGACCACCAGUGGCGAAGGCGUCUCACCAGAACGGACCUGACGGCAAGGGACGAAAGCUAGGGGCACGAACCGGAUUAGAUACCCGGGUAGUCCUAGCCGUAAACGAUACUCGCUAGGUGUCGGCCACGGUGCGACCGUGGUCGGUGCCGUAGGGAAGCCGUGAAGCGAGCCACCUGGGAAGUACGGCCGCAAGGCUGAAACUUAAAGGAAUUGGCGGGGGAGCAC
rnacentral:rRNA from 1 species